ensembl:lncRNA
CUUUUGUGAUUACAUCUAGUGUCUCCUAGCAACUUUGUGCUUCCUAUCCUUAUGCCUCUGGGUUCUAUUUCUACUUGGAGAUACAAUAGUUGUUCUCGUGAAUUGGAAUCAAUCAGUGCUACCUCGUGCUUUGAAAUUCUUCAUGUCCCUAGGAUGCUGCCACCAAAGAGACUGUAUUUCAUCUGGGCUUGAUGAUUGUUGCCUCAUCAGGGUGGGUCCAGGCUUUGGAUUCAGAUGAGCUGUUUGAAUCCUGGCUCCUAGAGGAAAUUUGGAUAAUGUAAUUUGGAACGUAAAGUACAGGUGAGAAGAUUAGAGCCUUAUCUGCAACACUACAAAGGAUGUGAAACACAGCAUUUGAGGUCAAUCAGAGUUUCUUUGAAAUCAUUUUUCAUCAGGUAUAUACUGUAAAGAAAUUCAUGUGUGCAGUGUGCAAAAAUAUUCUUACUGUGUCUACACAAAUGUCUAUCCAAAUGUCCAUUGCCAGGAGAAUGGAUCAAUAAUUUGCAUAGUAUAGCGGUGAAGAUGAUUGAAUACAACUGCAUGCUUCAACAUGGAUGAGAAUCAAAGCACAAUGCAGAGGAAAGAAAGCAAAUCACAGAAGGACACACUGAGUUCACCUGAUAAAUUUCAAAUGUACAAAAAUAAGUGGCAUAUAUUUCUAGUUUACGUGCGUAUAUAAUAAACUGUUUUACAGAGACAUAAUCCUUGGUGGGGAGGAAGGGAAAUAAGAAAAACUAUUGGGAAAAGGGGCUUUGCCAGAAUUAGUCACUUUCUGUUUCUUAAGCUGGCUUGGGCACAUGGAGGGUCAGUCAAUCAUUCUUUAUACUUUAGCUAUUACCUAGACAUAAUUUUUUGAAUCUAUGAAAUAGUUCAUGAAAAAUAAAAUUUUAAAAAG